AGGGUUUCUGGUAAAAUACUUCAGAGACUACGAAACUGAUUUUGACCUGGAUCAUAUUAAUAGAGGGCAGAAGUCGUCUGAGACGGAUGCUUACUGUGGCCGUUAUUCCCUGAAAAACCCAGCUGUUCUUUUUGACUCAGCAGAUGUUAAGCCAAACAAAUUACCAUACGGAGACAUUUUAUUAUUUCCUUAUAAUCAGGUGAGCCUGUGAAAACUAUAUGCUAAUUGAAUCUGGG
rnacentral:lncRNA from 1 species